rnacentral:sRNA from 1 species
UCUGAAUUUUACUCUUUAAAUUUUGAAGUUGACUAGCAUUUUCAAACCUUUAUUUUAUACCCUUGUCUUUUAUAUUAACUUUUUCUUAUUAUUCUUUAGGUAAGAAUGAUUGAUGUUGGCUGAUAUUGGAGUGCUUGCUCACAUGAAGUGGAUAGAUACUUCUCAAGACAUCACACAGCGUGAGUCAAUCAAGGAGGGAAGCCACAAGCAGACUGACAACGUUUCUAGGUAAGUUAAAUGAUUCUUAGUCUGUUAAACUGUCUUCAGAAAGGCCCUUGGGUGGUACAAAAAUAGCAAUACUAGUGUGGGAACCAUUAAUUUUUUAUUUUUUGAGAUGG